rnacentral:rRNA from 1 species
CGCGUAGGUGGUAGUGUAAGUCUGGGGUGGAAUGCCGGGCUUAACCCUGGAAUUGCCUUGGAAACUGCAUUAACUUGAGUCAGUGAGGGGAGGGUAGAAUUCCUGGUGUAGCGGUGAAAUGCGUAGAUAUCAGGAGGAAGGCCUGUGGCGAAGGCGGCCCUCUGGUGCUGGACUGACACUGAGGCGCGAAAGCGUGGGGAGCAAACAGGAUUAGAUACCCUGGUAGUCCACGCCCUAAACGGUGGGCACUAGGUGUAGGGCUCGUAAGGGUUCUGUGCCGAAGGGAAACCAUUAAGUGCCCCGCCUGGGGAGUACGGCCGCAAGGUUGAA